UGCGCAGGCGGUUUUGUAAGACAGGUGUGAAAUCCCCGGGCUUAACCUGGGAACUGCGCUUGUGACUGCAAGACUCGAGUACGGCAGAGGGGGGUAGAAUUCCACGUGUAGCAGUGAAAUGCGUAGAGAUGUGGAGGAAUACCGAUGGCGAAGGCAGCCCCCUGGGUCGAUACUGACGCUCAUGCACGAAAGCGUGGGGAGCAAACAGGAUUAGAUACCCUGGUAGUCCACGCCCUAAACGAUGCCAACUAGGUGUUGGGGAAGGAGACUUCCUUAGUACCGUAGCUAACGCGUGAAGUUGGCCGCCUGGGGAGUACGGUCGCAAGAUUAAA
rnacentral:rRNA from 1 species